rnacentral:rRNA from 1 species
CCUACGGGAGGCAGCAGUGAGGAAUAUUUGUCAAUGGGCGGAAGCCUGAACCAGCCAAGUCGCGUGAGGGAUUAAGGCCCUGCGGGUCGUAAACCUCUGUUGUCUGGGAGCAGAGUUCCGGGCGUGUCCGACCCGGGGGAGUACCCGGAGACAAAGCAUCGGCUAACCCCGUGCCAGCAGCGUCGGUAAUACGGAUGGUGCGCGCGUUAUCCGGAUUUAUUGGGUUAAAGGGGUGCGUAGGCGGGCAUUUAAGCCGGCGUUAAAAUGUCGGGGCUAAACCGCGGACUGCCGAGGGAACUGGGUGCCUUGAGUGGGCGAGAAGUAUGCGGAAUGCGUGGUGUAGCGGUGAAAUGCAUAGAUAUCACGCAGAACCCCGAUUGCGAAGGCAGCAUACCGGCGCCCUACUGACGCUGAGGCACGAAAGUGAGGGUAUCGAACAGGAUUAGAUACCCGAGUAGUC